UGUAGAAGGAGGAAAGCAAAGGCCAGGCAAUGGGUGGGUGUGGGAAAGUGCCAUGCGUGAUCUCUUGGGAAAAUGAAAGGAGACAAGGGUAGGCCUCCUUGAGAAGGUGACUUUAGAGCAAAGACUUGAAGAUGAGGGAGCAACCCUGUGUACACCUUGAGGAAGAGGCUUCCAGACAGCAGGAGCGCUCUUUGCAAAGGCCCUGAGGCAGGAGCAUGCUUGGCAUAUUUGAGGAACAGUGAGGAGAUGAUUCACUGUGGGAAAGUUAGCUGCCACAUGGCAAGAAACCAAGGCCUCCUGCAGAUAGACAUGUGCGUGAGCCAUCCAGCAGGGGUCCUCCAGCCCCAGUCAGGCCUUCAGAAACCAAACUAGCUUGGACUCGUCUUCCAAGUCCUGGCUGCUGGAGUCACCGAGAGAUUUCAGGGAGAAGCAGUCUUGGCCGAGGGUUAGAGCCAGAGGCCGGCUGGAGAAGGGAACACUGUCUGGAUGUUGAGAGCAGCUGGAGCUUCGGAGGGAGAAAAAGCAGCUUGGCGAAUGAGGAAAGAAUGUGCUUGUCACUUCAAGAGGCAAGAAACUUCGAUUUCCCUCCUGCCUCUGCCAACAAGUGUUUAUUGGAAAGGACAGAGUGGUGGUGAUGGCAGGUGACUUUGGUUUGGAUUUUAUGGAAUUUUUCGUGUUUAUUUUACCUUCUCAAAGAAAAGAUAAAUGUACAAAUCCCACAGUUAACUAUUCUGAAUUCUGCUUGUGUUUUUAUUGGAGAAGUGAGUGUUGUUCCUCAGAGUUAUUUUUAAGAAUGCCACCCCUGGCCCAUUUUGAAACUCUGCUUGCUUUCCUUGCAUGUAAGCUAAUAUAUGUGAUAGGGAUUUUGGAGAAAAGUAGCAGAGUGUAUUUAAAUGGAAAGUGAAGGCCCAAGGGAGAAAAGAUCCUGUUCUGAGAACAUGAGAGAAUUUACAGUUGGAGGAAUCAGAUGGGCCCAUUUAGACAAAAUAGGAAAGUUUUAGCUGAAACCAAAGGUGAGCUUAUGAAAAGUUUGACAUAGUUGGGGGGGAAAGUUUUUAAGAUGUCAUACUCUUUGGUCAUGUUUUGAUUUCUCUCUGAUUUUCUUGGAUUCUUAUGGAAAUGGAUAGAACAACAGAGACUGUUUUCCCAUUCUGAAUUCCAUUCGUUAGACUUGGAAAGUGUGACCUGAUUUUAAGUAUCCCUUUUAAAAUGAACAGAAAGACAAUCCAAUAUUAAUAUUUGAAAAAUAAUGUUACCAUUUUAAAAUCGCUUUCCUCCCUUUCUGAACUCUCAACAUUUUUGCCUACUUUCAGAAUUCUCCCUUUAAUUGUACUUAACUGCUAUUUUUUAAAUUUGGCAGUGGGAAUGUUAGUUGGAUCUUGGAACAUAAAUACAUCUAAAAGUUAAAAUGGGGAAUAAGUGGGAGUAUUGGGAAGGGAAAAAAUAUUUCUUGAGUUCUACCUGUGUGACAGACCCCUUUACUAGGUCCUUUCCUUGUUAGAAUCUGUGAAGUAAGAAUUAUUAUGACCAUUUUAAAGAAGGGAGACUGAGGCUCAGUGAGGGUCUUUAUAACUUGUCUAAUAUUACCUGAUAUUCUAUUAAUGGUAAAGUCAAGUUAUCUGGAUUUAAACUUCGUUUUGAUUCCAAAGUCCAUAUUCUUUCCACUGCCCCGAUAUUGUCCACAUAAUAAUAUCUGGGUUGAUUAUGUUUAAAUUGAUUAAUCAUUAAAAAUUUAUUGAUCAGAAGUAACCUGUAUAUAUUAUUUAGGACUCCUCUUUUGCUAGUGUGUUGUGAUUCUAGGUAAUGAGACUUUAUUACAAGGAUUCAAGGGACUACAGAGUCUUCAACUAUAUAGUUACUUUGCAUCUCCAAAUUUCCAAGACUGGAAUUAGUACUGUCAAGAAAAAAAUAAUCUGAUGUGGUCUCUUGUCAUUACCCACGAUGAAGUUCCUGGCCUGGCAAGGUUCACCAAACCACUUCAGACGUGGUGGCUUCCUCCACAUCCAAACUGUGCGAUAACUUACCUUUAACUUGGGCACUCUUUCCUGAGGCCAGAGUAGAAGUUUCACAAGGCAUAUCUGGUGUAAAUCAUUGCAAAUUUUUUGUAGGAAGUGUCUCUUAGGGCUGCUGUUCUUAGAAGGAGAUUGUAAGCAAAGCAGGAACUUGGAAUUUUGUACUCUUUCCCAGCACGUGAAGAAACAAACUGGAUGUAAAGAAGUCAAUGAAAAGAAGCCAGUGAGGGCUCCCCUGGUGGCGCAGUGGUUGAGAAUCUGCCUGCCAGUGCAGAAGACACGGGUUCAAGCUCUGGUCCGGGAAGAUCCCACAUGCCGCAGAGCAACUAAGCCCGUGCGCCCCAACU